AUUGAACGCUGGCGGCAUGCUUUACACAUGCAAGUCGGACGGCAGCACAGAGAAGCUUGCUUCUUGGGUGGCGAGUGGCGAACGGGUGAGUAACAUAUCGGAACGUACCGAGCAGUGGGGGAUAACUAAUCGAAAGAUUAGCUAAUACCGCAUAUUUUCUGAGGAAGAAAGCAGGGGACCUUUGGGCCUUGCGCUGUUUGAGCGGCCGAUAUCUGAUUAGCUAGUUGGUGGGGUAAAGGCCUACCAAGGCGACGAUCAGUAGCGGGUCUGAGAGGAUGAUCCGCCACACUGGGACUGAGACACGGCCCAGACUCCUACGGGAGGCAGCAGUGGGAAUUUUGGACAAUGGGCGCAAGCCUGAUCCAGCCAUGCCGCGUGUCUGAAGAAGGCCUUCGGGUUGUAAAGGACUUUUGUCAGGGAAGAAAAGGGCGGGGUUAAUACCCCUGUCUGAUGACGGUACCUGAAGAAUAAGCACCGGCUAACUACGUG
rnacentral:rRNA from 1 species